rnacentral:rRNA from 1 species
UACGAAGGGGGCUAGCGUUGCUCGGAAUUACUGGGCGUAAAGGGCGCGUAGGCGGCACUGUUAGUCAGGCGUGAAAUUCCUGGGCUCAACCUGGGGACUGCGCUUGAUACGGCAGAGCUAGAGGAUGGAAGAGGCUCGCGGAAUUCCCAGUGUAGAGGUGAAAUUCGUAGAUAUCGGGAGGAACACCAGUGGCGAAGGCGGUUGCCUGGAGCUUUGCUGACGCUGAGGCGCGAAAGCGUGGGGAGCGAGUCCGG